rnacentral:misc_RNA from 1 species
GAUGAAGAACGCAGCGAAAUGCGAUACGUAAUGUGAAUUGCAGAAUUCAGUGAAUCAUCGAGUCUUUGAACGCACAUUGCGCCCUCUGGUAUUCCGGAGGGCAUGCCUGUCCGAGCGUCAUUGCUGCCCUCAAGCACGGCUUGUGUGUUGGGCCCCGCCCCCCGAUCCCGGGGGACGGGCCCGAAAGGCAGCGGCGGCACCGCGUCCGGUCCUCGAGCGUAUGGGGCUUCGUCACCCGCUCUUGUAGGCCCGGCCGGCGCUUGCCGACACAUCAAUCUUUUUUCCAGGUUGACCUCGGAUCAGGUAGGGAUACCCGCUGAACUUAAGCAUAUCAAUAAGCGGAGGA